GGAGGGGUGGCUGAGAGGCCGAAGGCAGCCGCCUGAUAAGCGGUAAUACCGCAAGGUAUCGCGGGUUCGAAUCCCGCUCCCUAUA
rnacentral:tRNA from 2 species